GCCGGCUUAGCUCAGUUGGUAGAGCAGUUGCCUUGUAAGCAUCAGGUCGCCAGUUCGACUCUGGCAGCCGGCACCA
rnacentral:tRNA from 1 species